UGGCCAUAUUAUAUUAAAACACUGGUUCUCUUUUGAUCACCAAAGUUAAGCAACAUCAAGCUUGGUCAGUACAUAGAUGGGUGACCUGUUGGAAGUACCAGGUGCUGUAAG